UACGUAGGGUGCAAGCGUUGUCCGGAAUUAUUGGGCGUAAAGAGCUCGUAGGCGGUCUGUCGCGUCUGGUGUGAAAACCCGGGGGCUCAACCCCGGGCCUGCAUUCGAUACGGGCAGACUAGAGUUCGGUAGGGGAGUCUGGAAUUCCUGGUGUAGCGGUGAAAUGCGCAGACUAUCAGGAGGAACACCGGUGGCGAAGGCGGGACUCUGGGCCGAUACUGACGCUGAGGAGCGAAAGCGUGGGGAGCAAACAGG
rnacentral:rRNA from 1 species